rnacentral:rRNA from 1 species
AACAUAGUUUUAUGUAUUUAUAUAAAAUAUUUUCUGCCCAAUGUUUUUAAAAAAAAUCAAUGGCCGCAGUACCUUGACUGUGCUAAGGUAGCAUAAUCAAUUGGCUUUUAAUUAAGGUCUAGAAUGAAUGGGAUAAUGAAGUUAAUCUGUCUUAGUUGCUUUUAUUAAAAUUUAUUUAAAAGGUGAAAAUACCUUUUUUAAAAAUAAAGACGAGAAGACCCUUAGAAUUUUUAUUAUUUUUUUUGUUGGGGCGACAGUUUAAAAUAUAAUCUUAAAUUUAUUGUAAUAUAUAUAACGAUUUUUUUAAUAGAAAUUAAAUUACCUUAGGGAUAACAGCAUAAUUAAUUAUUUAGUUUGUGACCUCGAUGUUGGACUAGGAACUAUAUGGCUAACCGUCUAAUUAGAUUUGUUCUGUUCG